rnacentral:rRNA from 1 species
AUUGAACGCUGGCGGCAGGCCUAACACAUGCAAGUCGAACGGUAACAGGAAGCAGCUUGCUGCUUCGCUGACGAGUGGCGGACGGGUGAGUAAUGUCUGGGAAGCUGCCUGAUGGAGGGGGAUAACUACUGGAAACGGUAGCUAAUACCGCAUAAUGUCGCAAGACCAAAGAGGGGGACCUUCGGGCCUCUUGCCAUCGGAUGUGCCCAGAUGGGAUUAGCUUGUUGGUGGGGUAACGGCUCACCAAGGCGACGAUCCCUAGCUGGUCUGAGAGGAUGACCAGCCACACUGGGACUGAGACACGGUCCAGACUCCUACGGGAGGCAGCAGUGGGGAAUAUUGCACAAUGGGCGCAGGCCUGAUGCAGCCAUGCCGCGUGUAUGAAGAAGGCCUUCGGGUUGUAAAGUACUUUCAGCGGGGAGGAAGGGAGUAAAGUUAAUACCUUUGCUCAUUGACGUUACCCGCAGAAGAAGCACCGGCUAACUCCGUG